rnacentral:ncRNA from 1 species
GACGAGGAAGGACGUAGUAAUCGACAAAAUGCUUCGGGAAGUUGAAAAUAAGUAUAGAUCCGGGGAUUCCCGAAUAGGGCAACCUUUCGAACUGCUGAUGAAUCUAUGGGCAGGCAAGAGACAACCUGGCGAACUGAAACAUCUUAGUAGCCAGAGAAAAAGAAAGCAAAAGCGAUUCCCGUAAUAGCGGCGAGCGAAAUGGCAGCAGCCUAAACCGUGAAAACGAGGUUGUGGGAGAGCAAUACAAGCGUCGUGUUGUGUGUGGUUUGUCGGUUACCUUUGUACACCCCUACUGUACAUAACGAUUUGGAUCCGCCCCUGUAAACAUGGACGAAGCUAUAUAC